UGAGCCACCACACCCAGCCUAAAAAAAUUUUUUUUUAUUUAAAAGAAGAAAAAGGCUGGGCACAGUGGCUCACCGUCAAUCCCAGCACUUUGGGAGGUCAAGUUUCACUCCCAAAGUGCUGGGAUUACAAGCGUGAGCCACCACGCCCAGUACGAUUUGUAUUUUUAAUAAAUAUUUUAAUGUUGUAGAAGAAAAAAUAUUGCCAAGCAUAGCAUUUUUCUCCCCACCCCUUCUUACCUGUUUUAUGACACAGGGCACAAUAUUGGCCAUAGGCAAGAAGGGUGAGGCUGAGCUCACUUGCCGUUUUUUUUUUUUUUGAGGAAUGGGUACCAAAUUUAUUUGUUAAUUUCUUGCAUUUGAAGUACACAGUCACAUCCUUGGCCUGAAAUUCUUUGCUGUAGCCCUUCACUGUGACACAACUGCAACCAACCACUUUACAAAGUUUUCCUUGUCUAUCAGUUUUACAAAGGCUUAGCCAUGUCUCUGGUUUCUUAAGGUCAUCAACCUUAAUUGGGUUGAUUUGGUGUUCGGCACAAAGGGCCACCCCUAGCUUGACAUACAUAGGCUCUUCACAUUUGGAUGCAAGCACACAAAGAUGGGCUUGGCCCUUGUCUAAGGCUUUGGCAGCUUUGCAGGUUCCACCUGCUAGGCCAUCAUGGCUGAGGGCGGUCUUCAGUCUCUUGUAAAGCAGUAUUAAUAUCCAUUACACCUCCAGCAGCGUGUCUUCCUUGGUCAUGGUGGUGGGUUACAGGUGAAGGUGAAUCUUGAGCGCACUCAAGCUUCUGUCUCUGAGCAUGUUGUCCAUGGCAGAGAAAGAGAGUUGCCUUUCUUUUCUUAACUGCAGGUAGUGGGCAGCAGUCAGUGACAGGUGUAACCUCUGUGGAUGACAGCAACAGUUAUUGGAGGAUACGGGGGAAGAGUGCCACAGUGUGUGAGAGGGGAACCCCCAUCAAGUGUGGCCAGCCCAUCCGGCUGACACAUGUCAACACUGGCCGAAACCUCCAUAGUCACCACUUCACUUCACCUCUUUCUGGAAACCAGGAAGUGAGUGCUUUUGGUGAGGAAGGUGAAGGUGAUUAUCUGGAUGACUGGACAGUGCUCUGUAACGGACCCUACUGGGUGAGAGAUGGUGAGGUGCGGUUCAAACACUCUUCCACUGAGGUACUGCUGUCUGUCACAGGAGAACAAUAUGGUCGACCUAUCAGUGGGCAAAAAGAGGUGCAUGGCAUGGCCCAGCCAAGUCAGAACAGCUACUGGAAAGCCAUGGAAGGCAUCUUCAUGAAGCCCAGUGAGUUGUUGAAGGCAGAAGCCCACCAUGCAGAGCUAUGAAUCUAGAGGCUCUGAGCC
rnacentral:sRNA from 1 species